AACGGCUGCUUUGUAGCCGAGACGGUGUUUCUAACGCUUGCAGAAAGUAUGGUGUGGGAUGACAGAUGAUGCCGGCUAGACAAGCUCUGUGUUCUCUGAAUCAUUUUUAGAGCGCAAAGGAGAUCUUGGCAAGCACCAUAAACAUGUGCCUAGUGGGAAAACCUCAGAACUACACAGGUCUUUAUCUUUGAAGACAGCCAUCUUUCCUGCCCUGUGAACAAUAAGACAACUUAACAU
ensembl:lincRNA Gm44734 predicted gene 44734